rnacentral:lncRNA from 1 species
AACACUUAUUAUUUAAAUUAAAUAAAUCAUUAAAAUUAAAACAAAAUCUUCACAUUUCAUAAUUCUUAUUAAAUCAUGCAUUGAAAUUCUUAAAUAUCAAAAACACAACAUGAUAAAUUCUUAUUCAUACAUUGAAAUCAAAACUAAAAUAGUAGACACAUGCAUCUUCAUCAUAAACUAUAACAAAACCACCUUGAAAUCAAAACAUCAAACCAUUCAAAUAAACAUAAACCCAUGAUUAUAAACUAUAAAACAUCGAAAUCAAUAGAUACACAAAACAGUAGAUAAAUUCCAGCAACAUCUCAUUCCACAAAUAGAUAAACAAAAUUCCAGCAACAAACCAAAAUAAGAGAUACAUAGAAAAAGAAAUAAAGAGAUAAUAGGAAAAUGAGUGAAACAAAAACCAAAACCCAAAUAGUCAAACCAAAACCAAAUUAACAAAACCAUAUAUUACUUAAACAAAUAAUUAACAACACAAAUUAUAUAUACAAUUAAAAACAGUAAGUGAAUAUAGAAGAUUAAAAACACAAAUGUUCAAAUUAACAUGCGAUAUUGAAUAAGUGAUACAAAAAUGAAUAUAAAAUGAAUAAGAAAUAAGACAUUGAAUAAUUGAGAUUAAAACAUAAAUGAAAAGAUUCAAAUAAAAUAUAGAUAGAACAAUCCUCAUUGAUUAAAACAAAAUAAAUCAACACAUUUACAAUCCUCAAUCCUCAAAUAUAGAUAAACCAUUAACAAUCCUCAAACACAAUUUCAACAAUGCAAAAGAUAGAUAAACAGUAGAUAAACUACAUCAAAUAGAAACACAAUCAACAUCAUGAACAAUAAGGAGAUGAAAACGAUAAGGAGAUGAACAAAUACAAAAACAUAAGGAGAUGAAAAACACCAUUAACAUCAAAUAUAAACACCAUUAACAUCAAAUAUAAACACCAUUCACAUCAAAUAAAAAAACCAAUAAAUAUAAACAUAAGAUGAAAAAUAAUUAAUAGAAAAAAAUUAGAUGAAGAAAUCACCGGAAAGGGGGAAAGAUUUGCUGUGAACGAUUAGGGGAAGGGAUGACCGGAAAGGGGGAGCGAUCACCGGAGGACGGAGGAAGGAACGACGGCGCGACGACCGGCAGAGCGAGCGGCAGCAACCGACAGGAGCGGACGACGGCGACAAAGGUGAUCCGGCGGUAGUCGACUGUAAUUUGGAAAGAAGAUAUGAAGGUGCGUGUUCUGUCUGGAAUUUGGGGUUUUUAAUAAACCCCAAAACUUACAUGGUGGAUUUCCGCCAUGUAAGUACACUUAAGUGCCGCCAGCACUUAAGUGAAA